rnacentral:tRNA from 1 species
GUCUGCCAGUAGCUCGGCAGAUUCGGCCGGGUGCUGCUCGAGGUAGCGCUGGUAGACAGCCAGGUUCGGCUGCCCGGUGACGUGCA